GACGAACGUUGGCGGCGUGCUUAAUACAUGCAAGUCAACUGAAGCAGUGGUAGCAAUAUCGCUGUGGAGGUGGCGCACGGGUGAGUAACACGUAGGUAAUCUGCCUUCAGGUCUGGCAUAACUCCGGGAAACCGGGGCUAAUAGCAGAUGAUGCAGCGGCUCGACAUCGAGACAGUUGUUAAAGCUAUGGCGCCUGAAGAUGAGCCUGCGUCUGAUUAGCUAGUUGGCGGGGUAACGGCCCACCAAGGCAACGAUCAGUAGCUGGUCUGAGAGGAUGAUCAGACAAACUGGAACCGAGACACGGUCCAGACUCCUACCGGAGGCAGGAGGAAAGAAAAAUGCUCAAUUGGAGGAAUCCUGAAGCAGCAACGCCGCGUGAGGGACGAAGGGCUUUUGCUUUUAAACCUCUGUAGUGGGAGAAAAAAAUCCCAAUCUUUGGGACAUGAUGGUAUCUCAAAAGUAAGCCCCGGCUAACUACGUG
rnacentral:rRNA from 1 species